rnacentral:rRNA from 1 species
AGAUUGAACGCUGGCGGCAUGCCUUACACAUGCAAGUCGAACGGCAGCACGGGAGCAAUCCUGGUGGCGAGUGGCGAACGGGUGAGUAAUACAUCGGAACGUGCCCAAUCGUGGGGGAUAACGCAGCGAAAGCCGUGCUAAUACCGCAUAAGAUCUACGGAUGAAAGCAGGGGAUCGCAAGACCUUGCGCGAAUGGAGCGGCCGAUGGCAGAUUAGGUAGUUGGUGAGGUAAAGGCUCACCAAGCCUUCGAUCUGUGGCUGGUCUGAGAGGACGACCAGCCACACUGGGACUGAGACACGGCCCAGACUCCUACGGGAGGCAGCAGUGGGGAAUUUUGGACAAUGGGCGAAAGCCUGAUCCAGCCAUGCCGCGUGCAGGAUGAAGGCCUUCGGUUGUAAACUGCUUUGUACGGAACGAAAGUCUCUUUACUUAAUAAAGAGGAGUCAUAGACGGUACGUAAGAAUAAGACACCGGACUAACUACGUAGACCG